UAUUAAUAAUGGCCUGCACUGCUGGGGGCUGUGUCACCUUGUUCCUCCUGCUUUUCCUGCUCUACUGCCUGGGGCAUUUUGGUACAAUUCUUCUGAAGAGAGAUAGAGCUAUAAAGCAGCAAGAGACCCCCAGUCAUGAUGAGCUCCACAUGGAGAACCAGCUGGGAAAGGAUGUAUGCACAGUUUGAGCUGCUUGGUAAUAACCAGACAGAGGCCAGAGCAAUGCYGGAAGCUGAACACGUGUCUGUAAAUAUCAGAAACAUUGUCUAACACAAAGGACUGUGGUGCCUGGACUGUGAUCCUUCUGGUCAGGGACUGAGGGGGUGUCUAGCAUUAGGCCUCCAUGACCCAUCUAAGAAAUAAAUCAGAGUAUCAAGCAGGAAACUCCUGGAAAUGAAUAGGACAUCUUCACCUAUGUUGCCUCUGCUCCUGGGGAUGCUGUGUGUGAUCUGUUUUGGUCGGUGACCCUGAACCUGCCAUUGGCAAGGAAGGUGGGAACUGGAGCUUCUGAACAUAAGCUGCAAUUAUGAACUUGUGAUUCCAUUAAUACAGUUUUUUACCUUUUUUCCUAAAGCAUCCGAGUCUACAGAUGCCAGGCAGUGGACAUGUGGAGUUGGGAGCCCUUUCUGAUCACAGAAGGGGGCAUUAUGGCAAUCCCAAAUACUUUGGAAAGAUAAAUCUAUAGGAUUUCUCUUUGAGAAGAACUAACUGAAAGUACAGCAUGCCAAGUGCAUGGUACUUCCSCUGUACCAGGUUCUACAGAGGUUCUACAUGCUGUUUGGACUGAAAUGUUGUUGUUUCUAUUUCUUGUGACUGUACCAUGUGCCACUUUGCUUAGAAAUGUGCUGGUGAUGACACUUGGGUUCCACAAAACCUUAUCAAUGGAUUCUUGUUACUUUUUUUAAAAAAAAGGAUCCCCAAUAAGAGCAUUUUUUGGGAGACACCUGAGAGGAAACAAGUCCCAAGCAUUCUUUCCUCUGCUGGGAAAGGCAAACUGAAUGCAUGUCUGACCUGCAGCUAUAAAAUAAGGCAACUUUCACAUAAUUAUCUGCUAAAAUUCUGAUGCCUUAAGGAAAGGGAGAAGACUGCUCAUUCCUGCUGGUUUAUGGAGCCUCGAAAGAAUAACCCACCACAGCUCAGCUGUAAUAGG